rnacentral:rRNA from 1 species
GAUGAACGCUGGCGGCGUGCCUAAUACAUGCAAGUCGAGCGAACAGACGAGGAGCUUGCUCCUCUGACGUUAGCGGCGGACGGGUGAGUAACACGUGGAUAACCUACCUAUAAGACUGGGAUAACUUCGGGAAACCGGAGCUAAUACCGGAUAAUAUAUUGAACCGCAUGGUUCAAUAGUGAAAGACGGUUUUGCUGUCACUUAUAGAUGGAUCCGCGCCGCAUUAGCUAGUUGGUAAGGUAACGGCUUACCAAGGCAACGAUGCGUAGCCGACCUGAGAGGGUGAUCGGCCACACUGGAACUGAGACACGGUCCAGACUCCUACGGGAGGCAGCAGUAGGGAAUCUUCCGCAAUGGGCGAAAGCCUGACGGAGCAACGCCGCGUGAAUGAUGAAGGUCUUCGGAUCGUAAACCUCUGUUAUUAGGGAAGAACAAAUGUGUAAGUAACUAUGCACGUCUUGACGGUACCUAAUCAGAAAGCCACGGCUAACUACGUG